rnacentral:rRNA from 1 species
UAGGGAAUCUUCGGCAAUGGACGAAAGUCUGACCGAGCAACGCCGCGUGAGUGAAGAAGGUUUUCGGAUCGUAAAACUCUGUUGUUAGAGAAGAACAAGGACGUUAGUAACUGAACGUCCCCUGACGGUAUCUAACCAGAAAGCCACGGCUAACUACGUGCCAGCAGCCGCGGUAAUACGUAGGUGGCAAGCGUUGUCCGGAUUUAUUGGGCGUAAAGCGAGCGCAGGCGGUUUCUUAAGUCUGAUGUGAAAGCACCCGGCUCAACCGGGGAGGGUCAUUGGAAACUGGGAGACUGGAGUGCAGAAGAGGAGAGUGGAAUUCCAUGUGUAGCGGUGAAAUGCGUAGAUAUAUGGAGGAACGCCAGUGGCGAAGGCGGCUCUCUGGUCUGUAACUGACGCUGAGGCUCGAAAGCGUGGGGAGCAAACAGG